UACGAAGGGGGCGAGCGUUGUUCGGAAUUACUGGGCGUAAAGGGCGCGCAGGCGGCCCUGAAAGCCAGAUGUGAAAGCCCCGGGCUUAACCUGGGAACUGCAUUUGAUACUCUAGAGCUUGAGUACGGGAGAGGAGAGUGGAAUUCCCAGUGUAGAGGUGAAAUUCGUAGAUAUUGGGAAGAACACCGGUGGCGAAGGCGGCCAACUGGACGAGUACUGACGCUGAGACACGAAAGCGUGGGGAGCAAACAGG
rnacentral:rRNA from 1 species